rnacentral:rRNA from 1 species
GAUGAACGCUGGCGGCGUGCCUAAUACAUGCAAGUCGAGCGAACAGACGAGGAGCUUGCUCCUCUGACGUUAGCGGCGGACGGGUGAGUAACACGUGGAUAACCUACCUAUAAGACUGGGAUAACUUCGGGAAACCGGAGCUAAUACCGGAUAAUAUAUUGAACCGCAUGGUUCAAUAGUGAAAGACGGUUUUGCUGUCACUUAUAGAUGUAUCCGCGCCGCAUUAGCUAGUUGGUAAGGUAACGGCUUACCAAGGCGACGAUGCGUAGCCGACCUGAGAGGGUGAUCGGCCACACUGGAACGGAGACACGGGCCAGACUCCUACGGGAGGCAGCAGUAGGGAAUCUUCCGCAAUGGGCGAAAGCCUGACGGAGCAACGCCGCGUGAGUGAUGAAGGUCUUCGGAUCGUAAAACUCUGUUAUUAGGGAAGAACAAAUGUGUAAGUAACUAUGCACGUCUUGACGGUACCUAAUCAGAAAGCCACGGCUAACUACGUG